rnacentral:rRNA from 1 species
UACGAAGGGGCUAGCGUUGCUCGGAAUCACUGGGCGUAAAGGGUGCGUAGGCGGGUCUUUAAGUCAGGGGUGAAAUCCUGGAGCUCAACUCCAGAACUGCCUUUGAUACUGAAGAUCUUGAGUUCGGGAGAGGUGAGUGGAACUGCGAGUGUAGAGGUGAAAUUCGUAGAUAUUCGCAAGAACACCAGUGGCGAAGGCGGCUCACUGGCCCGAUACUGACGCUGAGGUGCGAAAGCGUGGGGAGCAAACAGGG